GGAGUCAGCCAGGCAAUCGCUGUCGCACCGGUUGCGGCAGAGGAAAGUCCGGGCUCCACAGGGCAGGGCGCCAGGUAACCCCUGGGCGGCGCGAGCCGACGGCAAGUGCAACAGAAAAUAUACCGCCGGACAUCUGUCCGGUAAGGGUGAAAUGGUGCGGUAAGAGCGCACCGCGUGGCUGGCAACAGACACGGCAGGGUAAACCCCGCCUGGAGCAAGGCCAAAUAAGGGGGCGAUAAUGUGGCCCGCAUUGUUCCCGGGUAGGCUGCUAGAGGUGUACGGCGACGUACAUCCCAGAUGAAUGAUUGUCCAGGACAGAACCCGGCUUACCGGCUGACUCCCUGU
rnacentral:RNase_P_RNA from 1 species